rnacentral:antisense_RNA from 1 species
CCAUUUCUUCCCACCUUCUACUCCCAGUGAAAAAUGGAGCCAGGCAUCACCCUCCCCACUUUGCUUGCUAAGCUGCAGUGCAGAAGGCACCACUACUGCGCCCUCCAGCAUGCUUUUUGGAGAGGACUGGAGCACACUGGGACGUGCAUGCGAGAAUCUGCAUGUGCCCCUUUCUGGAAUUUGAGGGAAGUACAUGGACGCAGCCUGCGUCUUGCUCCUACAUUUCCUUAGGCAUGUCUGAAAGCCAGAGUGGCUGGCUGGAGCAGUUGGUCCCAUCGGGGAAAAGAAGGAACAUGCACAGCAUGAGGGGAAUGGGAGAGAAAGAAGUGGCUGCACCAUGCUGCUGUUUCUGUGGCUCCAUGUGACACAAUACACAGGUGGGAGGAUGAGGUGGACACAGUAGGGAUGCCCAGGCAGUAGCCCAAGCAAGUGGAUGCCCCAUCUGGAGAGAGGAAGUCAGGGAAGAGGACUGCCUUCAGGAGACAAAGGAGAUACAGCUAUGUGUCUCUAAGAAUCCUCAUGGAUGAUGGCCAUGCGCAGUGGCUAACGCCUGUAGUCCCCAGCACUUUGGGAAGCUGAGGCGGGUGAAUCAUCUGAGGUCAGGAGUUUGAGACAAGCCUGGCCAACAUAGCGAAACCUCGUCUCUACUAAAAAUGCAAAAUUUAACUGGGCAGCCAUGGUGGUGCAUGCCUGU